rnacentral:rRNA from 1 species
CAGUAGCCGCGGGAAAACGUAGGGUGCGAGCGUUAAUCGGAAUUACUGGGCGUAAAGCGGGCGCAGACGGUUACUUAAGCAGGAUGUGAAAUCCCCGGGCUCAACCUGGGAACUGCGUUCUGAACUGGGUGACUAGAGUGUGUCAGAGGGAGGUAGAAUUCCACGUGUAGCAGUGAAAUGCGUAGAGAUGUGGAGGAAUACCGAUGGCGAAGGCAGCCUCCUGGGAUAACACUGACGUUCAUGCCCGAAAGCGUGGGUAGCAAACAGGAUUAGAUACCCCUGUAGUCCCUGUCUCUUAUAC